rnacentral:lncRNA from 1 species
UGAAGUUAAAUGACACUGUGUACUUAGAGGUUCAUUGAACUUUAUGAUGGUGCUGAAGUGAUACGCAUGCAUAGGAAUUGCACUUCACAUUUUUGUCUUUUGGUCUUUCUCAAGCUGGCGAUAUGUGGAGGAGUACUCCCUUAAGCUGGGCAUAGAGACAGAGCUGCAGUUCCCUGUGGGUUUUAUGAUCUGAGGAUAAACAACCCGUAUUCUGCCGUUUAUUGUGUUGCAAAGCUAUGAUAUUUGAUAGUAUUCACAGUAUUUUCAGCUUCCUAAUCUACUGAGUCAAUUUGUAUAAAACUUUGUACAUUGGUAUAAAAAUUAAUUUACUGUGUAGCCUCAGAACAAAAGGAUCCUUCAGAUCCUCUCAAAUACUGUAAACUUAAUUCUCCAAACAUUAGCAAAUAUAGCACCACUAUGAAAUCUAGUAGGCAUAAUACAGUCGCUGUAGAGUGAAAGAAAGAAUCAAUUUGUAGGUCCUUUAGGUAGCUCAUUAAGUAGUAUGUUUUUAAAUACUGAAUCAUUUUUGUUUAUUUAGAAUGUGUGAGAAUGGUAGUGAAUUAAAGGCAAAUCGGUAUUUAGGGAUGUCACUGUGCUUUGACAUAACUCUUGAUUGCUCUGAAAGUGAUUAGUUUCACUUCUGUAGCUUCCCUACCUCUAAAUCGUAAGGAUACAACCAGGCCUUUUCCUUUGUUUUCCUUGGUUCUUAGUGGAGGAUUUAGCAGAUAGUUGGUGCUUAGGAAAUGUGUAUAAGAAGAAAAAUGAACAAUUAAUGGCAUUUAAAAAUUGGUCUUAUGUUUUAGUUGGUCUUAUGUUAAAAUUACCAGCUAUUAAAAAUAGUAAAAGCCAUGUCAUUUAGAAAUCAAUAUACAAAGUUCAGUUAGUUCAGGUUGGCAUCACUGAUGAAGACAUGCUUACUCAAACUGGCUACUUUCAGUAGGAACCACUGUGGACCAGAUCCUUGCGUCAGUCCACAUUCAUUUUAGUUGUAGUGUAGACCGCAGCACAUAUCUUCUGUUUCAACAUCACUCUAAUUUAAGCAGCCCCUCAAGUUUGAGCUAUUCUCACCAAGCAUCUGGAGGUAUUUAUUAAUUCUGACCUUUUCAUAAAUGAGUAGUUAGGUCUUGAUUUUGCUUCUAAGACUCUGAAAAUGAGAGUUGUUUGAUCCAUCAUUUCCCAAUCUUUCUUGACUAUACAGUCUUUUUCUCCUCUAGUCUCACAACAUCCUAUUGAACUGUAAUUGGGAAAGAGGAUAAAUCUUAUUCCUCUCUUUCUAGUUAUUUGAAAGAAGCUCCCAAGCUUCUGACUCAUCUCCAGUUUGUAGUCUGUUUCUGCAUCCAGAUGUGUCCCAUUUUGUUAGUUUUGUCACUCUUGAAAUUCAUCUAGCAAUAUCUGCCAAGUAAUCAGUGGCUGGAGGAAAAAACCUUCCCAAUUCUUGGAUGAGACUUCUGUAUUUGU